rnacentral:rRNA from 1 species
GAUGAACGCUAUCUACAGGCUUAACACAUGCAAGUCGAGGGGCAGCAUGGUCUUAGCUUGCUAAGGCCGAUGGCGACCGGCGCACGGGUGAGUAACACGUAUCCAACCUGCCGUCUACUCUUGGACAGCCUUCUGAAAGGAAGAUUAAUACAAGAUGGCAUCAUGAGUCCGCAUGUUCACAUGAUUAAAGGUAUUCCGGUAGACGAUGGGGAUGCGUUCCAUUAGAUAGUAGGCGGGGUAACGGCCCACCUAGUCUUCGAUGGAUAGGGGUUCUGAGAGGAAGGUCCCCCACAUUGGAACUGAGACACGGUCCAAACUCCUACGGGAGGCAGCAGUGAGGAAUAUUGGUCAAUGGGCGAGAGCCUGAACCAGCCAAGUAGCGUGAAGGAUGACUGCCCUAUGGGUUGUAAACUUCUUUUAUAAAGGAAUAAAGUCGGGUAUGGAUACCCGUUUGCAUGUACUUUAUGAAUAAGGAUCGGCUAACUCCGUGCCAGCAGCCGCGGUAAUACGGAGGAUCCGAGCGUUAUCCGGAUUUAUUGGGUUUAAAGGGAGCGUAGAUGGAUGUUUAAGUCAGUUGUGAAAGUUUGCGGCUCAACCGUAAAAUUGCAGUUGAUACUGGAUAUCUUGAGUGCAGUUGAGGCAGGCGGAAUUCGUGGUGUAGCGGUGAAAUGCUUAGAUAUCACGAAGAACUCCGAUUGCGAAGGCAGCCUGCUAAGCUGCAACUGACAUUGAGGCUCGAAAGUGUGGGUAUCAAACAGGAUUAGAUACCCUGGUAGUCCACACGGUAAACGAUGAACACUCGCUGUUUGCGAUAUACUGCAAGCGGCCAAGCGAAAGCGUUAAGUAUUCCACCUGGGGAGUACGCCGGCAACGGUGAAACUCAAAGGAAUUGACGGGGGCCCGCACAAGCGGAGGAACAUGUGGUUUAAUUCGAUGAUACGCGAGGAACCUUACCCGGGCUUAAAUUGCAGAUGAAUUACGGUGAAAGCCGUAAGCCGCAAGGCAUCUGUGAAGGUGCUGCAUGGUUGUCGUCAGCUCGUGCCGUGAGGUGUCGGCUUAAGUGCCAUAACGAGCGCAACCCUUGUUGUCAGUUACUAACAGGUUCCGCUGAGGACUCUGACAAGACUGCCAUCGUAAGAUGUGAGGAAGGUGGGGAUGACGUCAAAUCAGCACGGCCCUUACGUCCGGGGCUACACACGUGUUACAAUGGGGGGUACAGAGGGCCGCUACCACGCGAGUGGAUGCCAAUCCCCAAAACCUCUCUCAGUUCGGACUGGAGUCUGCAACCCGACUCCACGAAGCUGGAUUCGCUAGUAAUCGCGCAUCAGCCACGGCGCGGUGAAUACGUUCCCGGGCCUUGUACACACCGCCCGUCAAGCCAUGGGAGCCGGGGGUACCUGAAGUGCGUAACCGCGAGGAGCGCCCUAGGGUAAAACUGGUGACUGGGGCUAAGUCAU